AUUGAACGCUGGCGGCAGGCCUAACACAUGCAAGUCGAGCGAGCGGCGGACGGGUGAGUAAUGUCUGGGAAACUGCCUGAUGGAGGGGGAUAACUACUGGAAACGGUAGCUAAUACCGCAUACCAUCAGAUGUGCCCAGAUGGGAUUAGCCAGUAGGUGGGGUAACGGUUCACCUAGGCGACGAUCCCUAGCUGGGCUGAGAGGAUGACCAGCCACACUGGAACGCAGACACUGUCCAGACUCCUACGGGAGGCAGCAGUUGGUAAUAUUGCACAAUGGGCGCAAGCCUGAUGCAGCCAUGCCGCGUGUGUGAAGAGUGCCUUCGGGUUGUAAAGCUCUUUCAGCGGGGAGGCGUUACCCGCAGAAGAAGCACCGGCUCACUCCGUGCCAGCCGCCGCGGUAAUUC
rnacentral:rRNA from 1 species